rnacentral:tRNA from 1 species
UCGUAGCUCAAUUGGAUAGAGUAUCUGACUUCGGAUCAGAGGGUUGAAGGUUCGAGUCCUUCCGGGC